GACGAACGCUGGCGGCGUGCCUAAUACAUGCAAGUAGGACGCACAGUUUAUACCGUAGCUUGCUACACCAUAGACUGUGAGUUGCGAACGGGUGAGUAACGCGUAGGUAACCUGCCUAUUAGAGGGGGAUAACUAUUGGAAACGAUAGCUAAUACCGCAUAACAGUAUGUAACACAUGUUAGAUGCUUGAAAGAUGCAAUUGCAUCUCUAGUAGAUGGACCUGCGUUGUAUUAGCUAGUAGGUAGGGUAAAGGCCUACCUAGGCAACGAUACAUAGCCGACCUGGGAGGGUGAUCGGCCACACUGGGACUGAGACACGGCCCAGACUCCUACGGGAGGCAGCAGUAGGGAAUCUUCGGCAAUGGGGGGAACCCUGACCGAGCAACGCCGCGUGAGUGAAGAAGGUUUUCGGAUCGUAAAGCUCUGUUGUUAAGGAAGAACGAGUGUGAGAAUGGAAAGUUCAUGCUGUGACGGUACUUAACCAGAAAGGGACGGCUAACUACGUGCCAGCCGCCGCCGUAA
rnacentral:rRNA from 1 species